rnacentral:rRNA from 1 species
UACGGGGGGAGCAAGCGUUGUUCGGAUUUACUGGGCGUAAAGGGCGCGUAGGCGGUCAGCACAAGUCAGUUGUGAAAUCUCCGAGCUUAACUUGGAAAGGUCAACUGAUACUGUGCGACUAGAGUGCGGAAGGGGCAACUGGAAUUCUUGGUGUAGCGGUGAAAUGCGUAGAUAUCAGGAGGAACACCGAUUGCGAAGGCAGCUCGCUGGGACGUUACUGACGCUGAGACGCGAAAGCGUGGGGAGCAAACAGG